UACACACCGCCCGUCACACCAUGGGAGUGGCUUUACCUGAAGACGGUGCGCUAACCGCAAGGAGGCAGCCGGCCACGGUAGGGUCAGCGACUGGGGUG
rnacentral:rRNA from 1 species